rnacentral:rRNA from 1 species
AGUGAACGCUGGCGGCAGGCCUAACACAUGCAAGUCGAGCGGCAGCGCGUCCGACCACCCUCGGGUGGUCGGAUGGCGGCGAGCGGCGGACGGGUGAGGAAUGCAUCGGAAUCUGCCUCGUUGUGGGGGAUAACGUAGGGAAACUUACGCUAAUACCGCAUACGACCUACGGGUGAAAGUGGGGGACCUUCGGGCCUCACGCGAUGAGAUGAGCCGAUGCCGGAUUAGCUAGUUGGCGGGGUAAAGGCCCACCAAGGCGACGAUCCGUAGCUGGUCUGAGAGGAUGAUCAGCCACACUGGAACUGAGACACGGUCCAGACUCCUACGGGAGGCAGCAGUGGGGAAUAUUGGACAAUGGGGGCAACCCUGAUCCAGCCAUGCCGCGUGUGUGAAGAAGGCCUUGG